rnacentral:rRNA from 1 species
UACGUAGGGACCAAGCGUUGUUCGGAUUUACUGGGCGUAAAGGGCGCGUAGGCGGCAUGACAAGUCACUUGUGAAAUCUCUGGGCUUAACCCAGAACGGCCAAGUGAUACUGUCGCGCUAGAGUGCAGAAGGGGCAAUCGGAAUUCUCGGUGUAGCGGUGAAAUGCGUAGAGAUCGGGAGGAACACCAGAGGCGAAGGCGGCGACCUGGACAGAUACUGACACUCAACUACGAAAGCGUGGGGAGCAAACAGG